AUGUGGUCCCAACCCCACCUCCCUCCCUGCCCUGUGGUGUCGGAAGAAACUAACACAGGGAAUUGGACACAGCCAAGAAAAAAACGUUGAGAGAAUAUCAGCAGAGGAACAGCCCUGAUGUUUGGCAGGAAUAAAGAGGAAGAAAACGAAAAAAAAUGGCAGUAGCACUAAGACAACCACUUCUGGUGGUUGCCACUCACCUGGGGAUAAACAUGAUGCUGACAAUGGCCCUAAUCUUACAGGUGAAACCAAGUGAGACUUUCUCAUUGACCAAGAGCCUGCAGUAACUCUACCAACAGCUCAAUGGUUCAGCAACAGGUAUCCACUGGGAGGGCCCUGCAUCAUCGUCUCCUCCUCUCUGCGUGCAUUUCAGAGCUGUUAUCAAGAGGUAACUGUACCCUGGACUCCAGCUAUCUAACAAACAAUCAACUCAAUAGAAUAACUGAGAGAAACAGCACAACCAAGAAAUUGUGGAUCAACUAGAAUCACACUAGAAAAGCAAGAAAGCCAGCAAAACCAGGGAACCCUAAAGAGGCAGUUAGAGGUGAAACUGAUGUCUGAGAAAGGAAAAUUAAAUACUGAACUGUAUCAUAUGCAACGUGCUGCCAGGCACUUUGAAGGAGAGUCCAUGGAUCUGGCCAGCGGCCUGCAGUAUUCCCAGCAGUGUGUGGGAGAGUUGUAAUGGACUCUUUGCUGUCUCCAUGCAGCAGAAGAACAUGGACAGUUAUAUCAAGGAGGUAACCAAAGACAGAGAUGCCCUCAGGCUGGAGUCAUACAAGAAUAGCCAAAACAACGAGGACCGGAAGCAGAAGAACUCAGAACUAGAAGAGAAGCUUCAAGUCCUAGUGACCGAAGAUUUCGACUCAAUCUGAAGCAACUGCAAAGGAAGCUGGAGAGGGCUAAGAUCCUGCUUCUGCCCUUGAUGCUAACCAGCAGUUACAGCAGGCCAUGGAGGAGCGGGCACAGCUGGAAGUACACCUGGGGCAGGUGAGGUAAUGGGGUCACUGAAACAACUACAGAUGGAGAAAGAUCAACACGCUGAGAAUCUGAAAGGAGAGAGCGCCUUGUGGUGGCAGAGGAUGCGGGAGAUGUCAGAGCAGGUGCACGCGUUGAGGGAGGAGACGGUGCAUAGCAUGAGUCGAGUACAGGAGCUGGAGACGAUCUUGGCUGAACUAAGGAACCAGAUGGCUGAAUCCCACCCCUGGAGCCCCCAGCAGGGGGCGCAGCCCUCAUCUGCAGCUGCAGCAGCAGCUACAGGCAGAGGCUGAGCACCUGUGGGAGGAGCUGGAAAGUCUAGCAGGACAGCUCCAGUGGGCCCACAUGCAAGACAAUGAGGACUUGAAAUGCCUGAACUGGGAGCAGGAGAGGCUGCUGGAGCUGGGGCGGGUGGCUGAGCUCUGAGGGGAGCAGGCGGAGGUAUGCAGGCAAACCCUGGGGACCGUGCAAAAUGACCUCACCACCAUCAGCCCCACACUCUCCCAGAACCCUGAGCUCAAGGAGCAGCUACAGAGAGCAGCUUUUGAGAAUAUGGAGAUCAACAAUGCACUUUAGUCUGAGCAGCAUGUCAAGGAGGAGCUGCAGGAGAAGCUGGGCGAGCUGUAGGAGAUGGUAGCCCCUGCUG
rnacentral:lncRNA from 1 species